rnacentral:tRNA from 1 species
GGCGAGGUAGCCAAGUGGUAAGGCCGGGGUCUGCAAAACCUCUAUCGCGGGUUCGAUUCCCGCCCUCGCCUCCA